UACGUAGGGUGCAAGCGUUUAAUCGGAAUUACUGGGCGUAAAGCGUGCGCAGGCGGUUGUGCAAGACAGAUGUGAAAUCCCCCGGCUCAACCGGGGAACUGCGUCCGAUACUGGUGGGCUCGAAUCCGGGAGAGGGAUGUGGAAUUCCAGGUGUAGCGGUGAAAUGCGUAGAUAUCUGGAGGAACACCGGUGGCGAAGGCGGCAUCCUGGACCGGUAUUGACGCUGAGGCGCGAAAGCCAGGGGAGCAAACGGG
rnacentral:rRNA from 1 species